AUGGCCAUGCUACCCUUAGAUCAUUUCUUCAUCCUUCUUCUGCUCUGUAUCUCUGACUCUAGGGCAGAAAUAACUGUGACACAGUCUCCAGCAUUCCUGUCCAUGGCUGAAAAAGAAACAGUCACUAUCAGUUGCAAAAUCAGCACAAAUAUUGAUGAUGAUAUGAACUGGUACCAGCAGAAGCCAGGGAAAGCUCCUAAGCUCCUUAUUUCAAAAGGAAAUACUCUUCGUCCUGGAGUCCCUUCCCGGUUCUCAAGCAGUGACUAUGGCACAGAUUUUGUUCUUACAAUUAAUAACAUCCUCUCAGAAGAUGCUGCAGUGUAUUACUGUCAGCAAAGUGAUGACCUCCCUCUCACAGUGCUAUGUCUUUGUACAAAAACCUGCAGAUGCUGUUGUUGA